rnacentral:tRNA from 1 species
GAGGGUAUAGCUCAGUGGUAGAGUGUGUGCUUAGCAUGCAUGAAGUCCUGGGUUCAAUCCCCAGUGCCUCCA